rnacentral:rRNA from 1 species
GUGCCAGCCGCCGCGGUAAUACGUAGGGGGCAAGCGUUAUCCAGAUUUACUGGGCGUAAAGCGCGUGUAGGCGGCUGGUUAGGCGUGAUGUGAAAUCUUCCGGCUCAACCGGAAAAAUGCAUUGCGAACCGGCCUGGCUAGAGUGCAGGAGAGGGAAGCGGAAUUCCAGGUGUAGCGGUGAAAUGCGUAGAUAUCUGGAGGAGCACCAGUGGCGAAGGCGGCUUCCUGGCCUGCAACUGACGCUGAGACGCGAAAGCGUGGGGAGCGAACCGGAUUAGAUACCCGGGUAGUCCACGCCCUAAACGUUGUGAACUAGGUGUUGGUCGGAUUGACCCGAUCAGUGCCGCAGCUAACGCAUUAAGUUCACCGCCUGGGGACUACGGCCGCAAGGUUAAAACUCAAAGGAAUAGGCGGGGGCCCGCACAAGCAGCGGAGCGUGUGGUUUAAUUCGAGGCGACGCGAAGAACCUUACCUGGGCUUGACAUGCAGAGGAAACUUUCGUGAAAGCGAGAGCCUCCCGCAAGGGACUCCUGCGCAGGUGGUGCAUGGCUGUCGUCAGCUCGUGCCGUGAGGUGUUGGGUUAAGUCCCGCAACGAGCGCAACCCCUGUCCUUAGUUGAAUAAUCUAGGGAGACUGCCGGGCGAAACCCGGAGGAAGGUGGGGAUGACGUCAAGUCCGCAUGCCCUUUAUGUCCAGGGCUACACACACGCUACAAUGGCCGGUACAACGGGUUCCGACACGGCGACGUGAAGGCAAUCCCUUAAAGCCGGUCUCAGUUCGGAUUGCAGGCUGCAACUCGCCUGCAUGAAGUCGGAGUUGCUAGUAAACGCUGGUCAGCACACAGCGUUGAAUACGUUCCCGGGCCUUGCACUCACCGCCCGUC